UCUCCUGGCCAGCAGAGGUCAGAGAUCUAGAUGAAUACUGGUUCUUCAGUCACAGUACUCUUCUCUCUCUCUCCAGGGUGGGGUUAUACCUCUACUGACCUCAAGUCCAGGGUCAGACUGCUGUAUUCUGAAAACACAGUGUCAUCAUCGACUCAGCGCCCUGAGAGAAGAGGCUGGCUGUAUCUGAGGCUGAGGAACGAGUGAGGGAGUCAGAGAGGAGCAGGAUUAUCAAAAGAGAGUUGGUCCACCUUUGCAGCAGUUCCAGCCUCAACUCUUCUGGAAAAGCUUUACACUAGGAUCAUUGCUGUACAGACCUGAAAAGUGGCCUUGAAGAUUUGACAGCCUUAAUUCAUAAGAGCAUUAGAGUUGAUGAAUGAACACAGUGUUAUCCACAGAAACACAGGUGGAGAUGGCAUGAGCUACACACUGGUCUACAGGAUCUCUAAUGUCUUUCCAGGAACAUCUCUGAAGGAAUGGCAGGA